UUCGCAAUGCCCGAAAGGGUGACGAAGCGACGCCGCGUGCGGGAAGAAGGCCUUCGGGUUGUAAACCGCUGUCGGGAGUUAAGAAAUGCAAGGGUGUUAACAGCAUCCUUGCUUGACUAAGGCUCCGGAGGAAGCCACGGCUAACUCUGUGCCAGCAGCCGCGGUAAUACGGAGGCGGCAAGCGUUGUUCGGAAUUAUUGGGCGUAAAGAGCACGUAGGCGGCCUUGCAAGUCAGUUGUGAAAGCCUUCUGCUUAACGGAAGAACAGCAGCUGAUACUGCAAGGCUAGAGUGCGGAAGGGGAGAGUGGAACUUCUGGUGGAGCGGUGAAAUGCGUAGAUAUCAGGAGGAACGCCGGCGGCGAAAGCGACUCUCUGGCCCGUAACUGACGCUGAGUGUGCGAAAGCUAGGGGAGCAAACGGGAUUAGAUACCCCGGUAGUCCUAGCCGUAAACGAUGGGCACUAAGUAGAGGGGUUUU
rnacentral:rRNA from 1 species